rnacentral:rRNA from 1 species
AGGGAUUGCCUCAGUAACGGCGAGUGAAGCGGCAACAGCUCAAAUUUGAAAUCUGGCUCCUUCGGGGCCCGAGUUGUAAUUUGCAGAGGAUGCGUCGGGUACGGGUGCCUUCCGAGUUCCCUGGAACGGGACGCCAUAGAGGGUGAGAGCCCCGUCUGGUAGGAUACCCAGCCCGUGUGACGCUCCCUCGACGAGUCGAGUAGUUUGGGAAUGCUGCUCUAACGGGAGGUAUACUCCUUCCAAGGCUAAAUACCGGCUGGAGACCGAUAGCGCACAAGUAGAGUGAUCGAAAGAUGAAAAGCACUUUGAAAAGAGAGUCAAACAGCACGUGAAAUUGUUAAAAGGGAAGCGCUCGCUACCAGACUUGGGUUCGGCGGUUCAACCGGGGCCACGCCCCGGGGCAUUCCGCCGGCCCAGGCCAGCAUCAGCUUUCCGUCGGGGGUAAAGGCGUCGGGAAUGUGGCUCCCCUUCGGGGGAGUGUUAUAGCCCGUCGUGUCAUACCCUUCGGGGGGCUGAGGUACGCGCUUCUGCAAGGAUGCUGGCGUAAUGGUAGCUAGUGACCCGUCUUGAAAACGACAAA